rnacentral:rRNA from 1 species
GUUAGGAAUAUUGGACAAUGGGCGCAAGCCUGAUCCAGCCAUGCCGCGUGAGUGAUGAAGGCCUUCGGGUCGUAAAGCUCUGUUGCAGGGGAAGAACACAAUGACGGUACCCUGCUAGAAAGGAUCGGCUAACUUCGUGCCAGCAGCCGCGGUAAGACGAGGGAUCCUAGCGUUGUUCGGAAUUAUUGGGCGUAAAGCGGGUGCAGGUGGCUUGGUAAGUCAGAUGUGAAAGCCUGGGGCUUAACCCCAGAAGUGCAUUUGAUACUGCUGAGCUUGAGUGCUGGAGAGGCUAUUAGAAUUCCUGGUGUAGUGGUGAAAUACGUAGAUAUCAGGAGGAAUACCGGAGGCGAAGGCGGAUAGCUGGCCAGACACUGACACUCAGACCCGAAAGCGUGGGGAUCAAACAGGAUUAGAAACCCGAGUAGUCC